GGGAAUGUCACGUGAUCUAAUUUUGAAACCAUGAUCUAGUAGUUCCUGCAGUGUCUGACAGACAAUGAAUAUCACUGUGUUUCUCUCGAAAUCUUAAAAUAUCCCAGAGUGCUGCUGUGAGUUUGCUGUGGUGCCAGAGGCAUUUGAGAACAAGCUGCCUAGGCAGUCUAAAACCUCCUCUUCUUCUCUUUGUGGCAAGCGGGGGCAACAGCAACAUUCGUCACCAGUGCCUGUGGAUGCUUGAGUUGGAGAAACAGUGCUGCAUCCUGUAGGCAGGUGCAUCCAAAGAGAACAGUGAUAUUUUGAGCUCAGAAGAUAGGUUACUUCUAUACUCCACCCUGCAACGCAGCCUGAACCUUCCUUGCAACCAGUGAAGUUGAAAACUCAAUGAUUCCACAAUUCUUUGAUCUUGAAGUUUUCUUCCAACUCCACAAUUCAGAGAAAUGGGAAAGAGAAAUGCGCAAUGAUCGUGGGACUCGCCGCCGGGAGAAGGCGGACUCAGGAGUCGAAGGCGAUCCGGUCCCUGCCAGAGGAGAGCUAACGACUGGACUGGAACUUCCCGCGACUGCCUGAGGUGAGCUUCAGGAGGGGAGCGGCCCCGCGAAGUCGGAGAAUGUUUUCAUCAGGAAAGCCGCGCGUGCCCCCCUGGGUCAGGGGGCGGGCGUCCCGGGAAAGACAGCCUGCAGGGGACCUGGGGAACCCCAAGUGGCUCUGCUGCUCAGCAACAGGCUGAGCAAUGAAUUAAAAUCAUAGUAAGACUAAUAAAACGGUCUGCAGACC
rnacentral:lncRNA from 1 species